AACGCUAGCUACAGGCUUAACACAUGCAAGUCGAGGGGCAUCAGGGAUUAGCAAUAAUCCGCUGGCGACCGGCGCACGGGUGAGUAACACGUAUCCAACCUUCCUUUAACUCGGGGAUAGCCUUUCGAAAGAAAGAUUAAUACCCGAUAAUAUAAGCUAACCUCCUGGUUUACUUAUUAAAGAAUUUCGGUUAUCGAUGGGGAUGCGUUCCAUUAGGCAGUUGGCGGGGUAACGGCCCACCAAACCUACGAUGGAUAGGGGUUCUGAGAGGAAGGUCCCCCACAUUGGAACUGAGACACGGUCCAAACUCCUACGGGAGGCAGCAGUGAGGAAUAUUGGUCAAUGGACGUAAGUCUGAACCAGCCAAGUAGCGUGAAGGAUGACUGCCCUAUGGGUUGUAAACUUCUUUUAUAUGGGAAUAAAGUGCACCACGUGUGGUGUUUUGUAUGUACCAUUAUGAAUAAGCAUCGGCUAACUCCGUGCCAGCAGCCGCGGUAAUACGGAGGAUGCGAGCGUUAUCCGGAUUUAUUGGGUUUAAAGGGAGCGUAGGUGGAUUGAUAAGUCAGCCUGUGAAAGUUUGCGGCUCAACCGUAAAAUUGCAGUUGAUACUGGAAGUCUUGAGUACAGUUGAGGUAUGCGGAAUUCGUGGUGUAGCGGUGAAAUGCUUAGAUAUCACGAAGAACUCCGAUUG
rnacentral:rRNA from 1 species